rnacentral:rRNA from 1 species
UACGUAGGUGGCAAGCGUUGUCCGGAUUUACUGGGCGUAAAGAGCGCGCAGGCGGUCGUGCAAGUCGCGUGUGAAAGCCCCCGGCUCAACUGGGGAGGGUCACGCGAUACUGCUCGACUUGAAGGCAGGAGAGGGAAGUGGAAUUCCCGGUGUAGUGGUGAAAUGCGUAGAUAUUCGGAAGAACACCAGUGGCGAAGGCGGCUCACUGGACGACUGUUGACGCUGAGGUGCGAAAGCGUGGGGAGCAAACAGG